UGGGGCGUGGCCAAGUGGUAAGGCAACGGGUUUUGGUCCCGCUAUGCGGAGGUUCGAAUCCUUCCGUCCUAG
rnacentral:tRNA from 1 species